UACGGAGGGUGCAAGCGUUAUCCGGAUUCACUGGGUCUAAAGGGUGCGUAGGAGGGCAGGUAAGUCAGUGGUGAAAUCUCCAAGCUUAACUUGGAAACUGCCGUUGAUACUAUCUGUCUUGAAUACCGUGGAGGUGAGCGGAAUAUGUCAUGUAGCGGUGAAAUGCUUAGAUAUGACAUAGAACACCAAUUGCGAAGGCAGCUCACUACACGAAUAUUGACUCUGAGGCACGAAAGCGUGGGGAUCAAACAGG
rnacentral:rRNA from 1 species